UAAGGAAUAUUGGUCAAUGGACGCAAGUCUGAACCAGCCAUGCCGCGUGGAGGAUUAAGGCCCUCUGGGUUGUAAACUCCUUUUAUCUGGGAAGAAAUGCCAGUUUUUUAAUUGGUUUGACGGUACCAGAGGAAUAAGCACCGGCUAACUCCGUGCCAGCAGCCGCGGUAAUACGGAGGGUGCAAGCGUUAUCCGGAUUCACUGGGUUUAAAGGGUGCGUAGGCGGGCAGGUAAGUCCGUGGUGAAAUCUCUGGGCUUAACCCAGAAACUGCCAUGGAUACUAUUUGUCUUGAAUGUUGUGGAGGUAAGCGGAAUAUGUCAUGUAGCGGUGAAAUGCUUAGAUAUGACAUAGAACACCAAUUGCGAAGGCAGCUUACUACACAAAUAUUGACGCUGAGGCACGAAAGCGUGGGGAUCAAACAG
rnacentral:rRNA from 1 species